CUGUGUAUUUAGCACAGUAAUUGGCAAUAUACAGUUCCUAGUAAAUGCUUUUCCCCUCUUUUCUAAUUCUCAUAAAAUGUCUGUUUAAAACUCCAUUACAAUUAUCAGAGUUGCCAACAAGCACUGCAGAUAGUGGAAACUACUUUUGGUCCAUUUGUGAAAAUUGUGGCAUUUACUUUCUUCUGAUUAGCCUAGAUACUGGAAAACCUGCAGGAAUUAACAAGCUGCCUCCAUGAGAGCCACCUCCAUGCCUGGCUAAUUUUUUUUUUUUUUUUUUUUUGAGACGGAGUCUUGCUGUGUCACCCAGGCUGGAGUGCAGUAGCACGAUCUUGGCUCACUGCAACCUCCUCCUCCCAGGUUCAAGCGAUUCUCCUGCCUCAGCCUGCUGAGUAGCUGGGAUUACAGGUGCCUGCCACCAUGCCUGGCUAAUUUUUGUAUUUUUAGUAGAGACGAGGUUUCACCAUGUUGAUCAGGCUGGUCUUGAACUCUUGACCUCAUGAUCCA
rnacentral:lncRNA from 10 species